AAUACGGAGGAUGCGAGCGUUAUCCGGAUUUAUUGGGUUUAAAGGGUGCGUAGGCGGCACGCCAAGUCAGCGGUGAAAUUUCCGGGCUCAACCCGGACUGUGCCGUUGAAACUGGCGAGCUAGAGUGCACAAGAGGCAGGCGGAAUGCGUGGUGUAGCGGUGAAAUGCAUAGAUAUCACGCAGAACCCCGAUUGCGAAGGCAGCCUGCUAGGGUGCGACAGACGCUGAGGCACGAAAGCGUGGGUAUCGAACAGGAUUAGAUACCCUGGUAGUCCACGCAGUAAACGAUGAAUACUAACUGUUUGCGAUACAAUGUAAGCGGUACAGCGAAAGCGUUAAGUAUUCCACCUGGGGAGUACGCCGGCAACGGUGAAACUCAAAGGAAUUGACGGGGGCCCGCACAAGCGGAGGAACAUGUGGUUUAAUUCGAUGAUACGCGAGGAACCUUACCCGGGCUCAAACGCAGGGGGAAUAUAUAUGAAAGUAUAUAGCUAGCAAUAGUCACCUGCGAGGUGCUGCAUGGUUGUCGUCAGCUCGUGCCGUGAGGUGUCGGCUUAAGUGCCAUAACGAGCGCAACCCCUAUGGACAGUUACUAACGGGUGAAGCCGAGGACUCUGUCGAGACUGCCGGCGCAAGCCGCGAGGAAGGUGGGGAUGACGUCAAAUCAGCACGGCCCUUACGUCCGGGGCGACACACGUGUUACAAUGGCAGGUACAGAAGGCAGCCAGUCAGCAAUGACGCGCGAAUCCCGAAAACCUGUCUCAGUUCGGAUUGGAGUCUGCAACCCGACUCCAUGAAGCUGGAUUCGCUAGUA
rnacentral:rRNA from 1 species